ACUUGCUGAUGCAUGCUUACUGCGUAUAGGAUGGUGAACAGCUCCCCUCCGGAGUGCACCUUCCACCUGCUCAGAUCUUCCUCGGUGAAGACCGCGAUGACCAGGAACUGGAGGAGCCCAAAGAUGCAGGAACUAUUCUGAAUCCAUAUGUAUGAUAUAGAGUGGCAUUUUAACUGAACUUUACCCUACAGGAGGUAAUAAACAUCAAAAGUUCAAACUAUUCAUGGCAAGAGGGGACCAUCGAUCCCAGUAGUUCCUACUGAACGAUCAUGUCAUCUUUUUUCCAUAUUAAUUGGUUUUUUCACUGUAUAAUAUAUGGGCAGAUUGGAUCUAUCAGUUUUCGUUUAUACAGUAUAGCAUGGGGGAAGUUUGGAUACAUGCCGUUGGUUUCAUAUAUGGGCAGUGGGUUCAUGACAGGUAAGGCUGCUGGAGUGCCUGGGCUUUCAGCAUACAGCAAUCAGUGAGGAGGGCUCCCUUGUAUCCCUGUUCUAUCAACAUCGAAUUAAAUGCGAUGCUUUUUACAUCUUUCGACUUUUCAAAUAAUACUAAUAAUUCCAAUU